GACGUAGGAUGCAAGCGUUGUCCGGAAUUAUUGGGCGUAAAGAGUUCGUAGGCGGUUAUCUAAGUCUGGUGUUAAAUACUGGAGCUCAACUCCGGCAUGGCAUUGGAAACUGGGUAGCUAGAGUGUGGUAGAGGUCACGGGAAUUCCAGGUGUAGCGGUGAAAUGCGUAGAUAUCUGGAGGAACACCAGUGGCGAAAGCGUGUGACUGGGCCACAACUGACGCUGAGGAACGAAAGCCAGGGUAGCGAAAGGG
rnacentral:rRNA from 1 species